UCACACACACUAGAAGUAUUGACCGAUCCGAUGGUUGAAAUCGUGAUUAGGAAUCACAAGUAAUCAAUUUGAUUGAUAAGAAGUUGAAGAAGGAACAAAGGGAAUUAAUUAAUUGGACUUAAACACAAAUCCUACUUCGGGUAGGAUUCCUAGAGUCCUAAUUGGAUUAGGACUGGAAAUCCUAGUUGGAGUAGGACUGG
rnacentral:lncRNA from 1 species